CGUAGAGGCGGCGGACGGGUGAGUAACGCGUGGGUAACCUGCCUCAUACAGGGGGAUAACAGUUAGAAAUGACUGCUAAUACCGCAUAAGACCACGGUACCGCAUGGUACAGUGGUAAAAACUCCGGUGGUAUGAGAUGGACCCGCGUCUGAUUAGGUAGUUGGUGGGGUAACGGCCUACCAAGCCGACGAUCAGUAGCCGACCUGAGAGGGUGACCGGCCACAUUGGGACUGAGACACGGCCCAG
rnacentral:rRNA from 1 species